UNCGUGCCAGCAGCCGCGGUAAUACGUAGGUCCCGAGCGUUNUCCGGAUUUAUUGGGCGUAAAGGGAGCGCAGGCGGUCAGGAAAGUCUGGAGUAAAAGGCUAUGGNUCAACCAUAGUGUGCUCUGGAAACUNUCUGACUUGAGUGCAGAAGGGGAGAGUGGAAUUCCAUGUGUAGCGGUGAAAUGCGUAGAUAUAUGGAGGAACACCAGUGGCGAAAGCGGCUCUCUGGUCUGUCACUGACGCUGAGGCUCGAAAGCGUGGGUAGCGAACAGGAUUAGAUACCCUGGUAGUCCACGCCGUAAACGAUGAGUGCUAGGUGUUAGGCCCUUUCCGGGGCUUAGUGCCGGAGCUAACGCAAUAAGCACUCCGCCUGGGGAGUACGACCGCAAGGUUGAAACUCAAAGGAAUUGACGGGGGCCCGCACAAGCGGUGGAGCAUGUGGUUUAAUUCGAAGCAACGCGAAGAACCUUACCAGGUCUUGACAUCCCGAUGCUAUUCUUAGAGAUAGGAAGUUACUUCGGUACAUCGGAGACAGGUGGUGCAUGGUUGUCGUCAGCUCGUGUCGUGAGAUGUUGGGUUAAGUCCCGCAACGAGCGCAACCCUUAUUGUUAGUUGCCAUCAUUAAGUUGGGCACUCUAGCGAGACUGCCGGUAAUAAACCGGAGGAAGGUGGGGAUGACGUCAAAUCAUCAUGCCCCUUAUGACCUGGGCUACACACGUGCUACAAUGGUCGGUACAACGAGUUGCGCGCCGGUGACGGCAAGCUAAUCUCUGAAAGCCGAUCUCAGUUCGGAUUGGAGGCUGCAACUCGCCUCCAUGAAGUCGGAAUCGCUAGUAAUCGCGGAUCAGCACGCCGCGGUGAAUACGUUCCCGGGCCUUGUACACACCGCCCGUCACACCACGAGAGUUUGUAACACCCGAAGUCGGUGAGGUANCCUUUUAGGG
rnacentral:rRNA from 1 species